UACAGAGGUCUCAAGCGUUGUUCGGAUUCAUUGGGCGUAAAGGGUGCGUAGGUGGCGCGGUAAGUCGGGUGUGAAAUUUCGGAGCUUAACUCCGAAACUGCAUUCGAUACUGCCGUGCUUGAGGACUGGAGAGGAGACUGGAAUUUACGGUGUAGCAGUGAAAUGCGUAGAUAUCGUGAGGAAGACCAGUGGCGAAGGCGGAUCUCUGGACAGCUCCAUGACGCUGAGGCGACGAAGGCUAGGGGAGCAAACGGG
rnacentral:rRNA from 1 species